rnacentral:rRNA from 1 species
UGGUGGAGUGAUUUGUCUGGUUAAUUCCGAUAACGAACGAGACUCUGUCCUGCUAACUAGGUUGUGUUUUCUCGGGUUGAUGUUCUGGUGUUCCUUCUCGGGGCGCCGGCCCAAUCCACUUGUGAACACAACACUCUUCUUAGAGGGACUGGCGGCUGUUAGCCGCACGAGAUAGAGCAAUAACA